rnacentral:lncRNA from 1 species
AUGAUAUUAAAUGAUAUUCCGGAUAAGUAUCACAAUAAAAUUGGAGAAAUAUUGGAAAUAGUUUUAGUUUCUCAUAUGUGAGGUAAUGGAGUUUUUUGCUUUGCAAAGUUUAUUUCAGGUAUCAAUAACUUAAAUUGAAGGCAAAGGUAACUUGAUGUAAGGAUAGUAGAAGCCAGCUAUGGAGCACUGAAGGCUUAAAUAAAGUGGCUAUAAUAAAGAAGAAAAUUAUGUUUUAUUUAUUUGGAUUUAUCCCUAUAAAAACAAUUGAAUGAAAUAUUGGUUUUAGCCCAUUUGUUUAAU